UUAUGGUUUUUUUUCCUUUGUUAUUGCAGACUCUUCAAUUAGUACUGAUCUGAUCAUUGGUUUGGGUAUAGGAUUACCUCUCUUCUUUUUACUGUUGGCUGUUGUAUUUGUCUUGGUUUACAUUAAAAUAAAAUCUAAGAAAAAGCAAGAAAUUGAAAAUCUGGUCGGAGAAAGUGUAAAUGGAUACCCUUUCGCUUCUUCAUUGCCCAAGAGAAGUUCCCACUCAGCUGCCAACUACAUGCAUUACGUACCUGAUGGGUUCUCAUCAGUAGGCUCUUCCAGUUCAAGCGAAACACGACCAGUAAACAAGAAACGCGAAGAAAGAGAUGAUUUCCGUGAUUCAGCAUGGUAUAACAAUGGCGGACUGGAUAGAGGUGUUGGAAAUGAACACCCAGGCUCCAAUUUCUCAUGGGACUACCUGUAUAGAAUGUUGCAUCCUGACAACAAGUUUGAAAUUCGACGACCAAAAGUAGCUGAAUCGCCAAAGCCUCCGUUUACACAGAGUAAGCGACAAUCGGCUGCCUAAAUGAAUAUGAUGUGAUAAUUCCAAGAUUAAAGAGAUGGCCAAAAAAAACAAGAUUAACAAGAUAUUAUAUAAAUUAACAAGAGGGUUUUCAAUCAUAUUAUACAAUAGGUCUAUGUUAUUUUUAUAUUUUAUAUUUGAAAGCUCAUACAAAUUAUGAUAUUAUUUGUUGAGAGAUUGCUUUUAUGGAUUGUGGUAAUAGUAUAUUGGUUUAGGUGAACUAUGAUGAAAGAAUUCAGCUUACGUUGGCAGGACCAACAUUAUUUUAUUACAUAAAAAUUCAAUAUAGGUUUUGAUAUACUCAUAUAAAUAUAUAUUCAUACAUCAACUAUUAUUUGUUAUUCCAUUUUGUUAUUCAUCCUUAAUAACUUUAUUGAUUAGUUGUUGUCUUUUGUUACAUUUUAGUGAUUUAAACAUAAAAUGUAAUAUAUUUUGUAAUAGAUGAUAUCCUCAUCCUCAACAAUUCAGAGUUUGAAAUAUAAAGUGAAAUUUAUAGAGUUGGCCAAAAACAAAAUGUUACCCAUUCUGAGAAGGGGUGCAUGGAUUAACCAUGUCAUUAAUUAUUGAACCGUGUUCAGAAAUACAUGUAGUGACAAAAUAGUAGACUGUUAGUAUCGAAUAAAAACUUCAUGCUUCUGUGACAUUUGUCUGAAAUUUUUUUUAUUAAAGUAUGUACAUUUAAAAAAGUAGUGUACAAUAAGAAUAAGUAACAGUUUGUGGUCCACCCUGUAUAGUUGAAUAGAUCAGAGUUUGAAAUAUAAAGUGAAAUAUAUGUUUUAAUAGAUGAUAUCAGUGUUAGAAAUGUAAAAUUUUCUCAAUAUAUUGUUUAAUAGCUGAUGAUAUCCUCAACAGUUCCGUUUUGGAAAUAUAAAAUCAAAAUACCAAUCUUACAAAACCUUUGUUAAAAAACAUUUCUCCAAAUUCAUAUAACCUGAAUAUUAUGAAGUUAUGGACUGUCAGAUGCCAGGCAUACAAUAAAUAACCAUGCAAUAAGUUGGCUAAUACCAGACAAUGAUAAUUAUUUUAAGAAACAAUUGUUAAUAUUAGUAUAUACAUGUCGAAAUAAGACAACAAAUAAAGAAAUAAGAAUGAAGAACAAAUAAUUAAGAAAACUGAAUAAAGAUCUGUUUGGUCUUCCAUAGUUAGGUUGUUGUAUCAUCCAGGUUUAGUUUAAGAUUAGAGUAAAAGAAAGUCGUCACCAUUAUGUUUUCCACUUAAAACUGCCAUGUUUGGUACAGAGGUGCACUAACUGAUAUCUAUAAAAAUGGACGGUAAUCUCCAAAAUUGAACUUUGACCUUAUUAAAACAUGGUGGAUAUAAAUGCAAUGAUUUUCUGAACAUAUCAACUUUAACAUCAUAUUAUCCACUUGAUUUGAUACUUCUUUGUUGUUUAUUACAAAGUCAGUUUAUUGUGUGUCUUAAAAGAUGGUUGCCGAGGUGUUAAACACUGUUCCUUUUCAUCUCACUGAUACCAAAUAAUGCUGGCUAUGUUCAAAUGUUUUUAUGUUUGUUAUUUGAUGUAACCAUUACACUAACUGGGUAUUUACGAUAUAUUUCCAUGAGGGUCAAAUAUAAUAAUAUACUUAAUUUUUUGUAACAAAUACAAAAGUAAUUCAUUCUUUUUUUUUGUAAUUACAUGUAAUGUUAUGUACACUUGUUCCUGACACUUGUUGUUGGACUGUACAUACAGUUGGUAUUGUUUUUAUUAUUGAAGCACAAGAUUAGGAUUAUGGAACACAAGUGAAUUGUAUCUACCCUACCUGAUUCAUCACUGAACGCCCAACAUUUUAUCUUGUGAAAACCGUUAUCUCAGACACUAAAGGGAAAGUCUGAGCUCUAAAAGAAAAAUACAAACAAAAAUUGAACUUUGGUUAUAUUCUAGACAUCUCACUUCACAUUACUAAGAAAAUCACAUUACCAAUUUCUGAUAAGGGGUUUGGUAGAAAUAUUCAUUUUUCUUUUCUAUCUAGUGGCUGCAAACCCACCUGCAUAUGCAUGUGACUUUAGAACAUAUUUUGAUGGCGCUGGUUCCCAAUCUAGAUUUUUUAAAUUAGAUUUACCAUGUCAAUGUGAUAGCAUUAUUUACAUAGUGUAUUCAUAUUGUCCAGCACCCAAUUUCAAAUCAAAUUUCAGCUUGAAUAAAGUACACAGAAGAUCAGUGUACUAUCUAAGACAAGAAUGCCAUAUCUUGUGAGCUUGAUUUGAAAAGUCAAAACAAUGAGUAUGGGCCAGCCAUUCAAUCAUUAGGGAGCUGCAAUUAUUUUUUAUUAGUGAAGAAAAUGUUUUGGAUAUUUUCUACUGGCACUCUCUGUCUAUAACGAUUACGCCAUUCUUUAUCUAUAGUCUACAGUCCAACUGAUUGUAUAUUUACAGUAUAAACCAGGUAUCAUAUUUUAUAACCUCAUUUAAUAAAAUAUAACCGUCCAAAA